UUAAUUUUAAUUUUAGCCUCCUGGUCAUCAUAUCUACUAUUAAUUGCGUUCCAGAAUUUCCCCUUAAUUCCCAUACUCAAUAAUGUGAGUAAUAGGAAUGACCAAUUCACUCUGUCAAAAGCUUUUUCUGCAUCAAAAAAAAAUUAAUGCCAUUGAUUGGCCUUGUGUCAAGUUUAAGUAUUCUAUAAUAUUCACUAAAAUUCUUACAUUAUGUUUAAUUUGUCUACCAGGUAGGAAACCUGUUUGUUCUUCUGAAAUCUACUAACCAUCUCCCGGGUUUAUUACCUGAAAAUAAUUGUUUCUGUUUGAGAAUUUAGACCACUCACAUUCGAACAUUCAAUUUUAAUAGACAUCUUUACCUUAUGAAUAUGCGGGUCCAGUGGCUUCCUGGCUGCGAAUUCAUUUUCUCUCGGACUCUAAUUCCUGGUCCACCGUCUGCUCUCU